rnacentral:rRNA from 1 species
CACGUAGGGCGCAAGCGUUGUCCGGAAUUAUUGGGCGUAAAGAGCUCGUAGGCGGUCUGUUGCGUCCGCUGUGAAAACUCGGGGCUUAACCCCGAGCCUGCAGUGGAUACGGGCAGACUAGAGGUAGGUAGGGGAGAAUGGAAUUCCCGGUGUAGCGGUGAAAUGCGCAGAUAUCGGGAGGAACACCGGUGGCGAAGGCGGGUCUCUGGGCCGAUACUGACGCUGAGGAGCGAAAGUGUGGGGAGCGAACAGG